AUUGAACGCUGGCGGCAUGCCUUACACAUGCAAGUCGAACGGCAGCACGGGUGCUUGCACCUGGUGGCGAGUGGCGAACGGGUGAGUAAUACAUCGGAACAUGUCCUGUAGUGGGGGAUAGCCCGGCGAAAGCCGGAUUAAUACCGCAUACGAUCCACGGAUGAAAGCGGGGGACCUUCGGGCCUCGCGCUAUAGGGUUGGCCGAUGGCUGAUUAGCUAGUUGGUGGGGUAAAGGCCUACCAAGGCGACGAUCAGUAGCUGGUCUGAGAGGACGACCAGCCACACUGGGACUGAGACACGGCCCAGACUCCUACGGGAGGCAGCAGUGGGGAAUAUUGGACAAUGGGCGAAAGCCUGAUCCAGCAAUGCCGCGUGUGUGAAGAAGGCCUUCGGGUUGUAAAGCACUUUUGUCCGGAAAGAAAGCCUUGGCUCUAAUACAGUCGGGGGAUGACGGUACCGGAAGAAUAAGCACCGGCUAACUCCGUG
rnacentral:rRNA from 1 species